rnacentral:lncRNA from 1 species
CUUCAGAGUACAACAUGUUUACUUGUUGUGUACCAGUUUUCAGAGGCUCUAGGCUCAGGAAAGCCCAGAGUGUGAGACUGUUGUGUUGUUGUGGACAUCGGAUCAAGCCUCAUGGCCAAUUUGGCAGGAGGUACCCAAAGAACUCCACGCAGGAGAUCUUUGAAGAGCUACAUGAUGGGUUCGACUUCUCUCCCUCCCUAGUCAAGGGGCAGGAGCAGCAGGCCGCCAGCAGCAUCCUGUGCCGGUCUGAGGAACCCACCCUGUCCGUGGCUGAGGCCCGCACGAUGCGGACCCUCAAGGCAGGCGCAGUGCAGAAGGUGGUAGGCUGCCUGCAACCAUCUUUCCACGGCAGAUCCAUCUCC